AAUUGGUUCACUUACUUCAGCCCAGUGGAGUUCCGAGAGGUGGAUUUGCAGGGUGGAAUUCUGAGAGGUGGAUUUGCCCAGUGGAGUUCUGAGAGGUGGAUUUGCCCAGGUUUAGAAUGUAGCAGCAGAACACAAUACAGAAUAUGAAGGUGAUUGAGCUCCAGUUACUGAGUAUGACAGCUCCAGCUCCACCUGCCCGGGGGUGGGGGAAAUAAACAGUCUUGGAGGAAAAGAAAGAAGAUCAGAGUCCACUUUAUUCUAUCCAAGUUCAAUAUUGCGCAUAACCAUCCAGGGAUCGUCUGGCAGCAAGGAAAUCCCCCUGUAAUAAACAGCAAUGCGCAGCCUGUACAGGGCGGCCUCGCUCUAACUAUUUACUUAGUUGCUACCGGGACAGCGUUCUACCUAAUUCAGCGAGAUACAGUCGCUAGAUUCCUUUCACGGUGGGAGCGCCCCCCAGUGGCUAUAAUGAGUAAUUCAUGCCUGCUCAAACGUCAAGGGCUAGGCAGGGCAUGAAUACGUCUACCUGGAGAGAAAUAAAAGUAAC